UACGGAGGAUGCGAGCGUUAUCCGGAUUUAUUGGGUUUAAAGGGUGCGUAGGCGGUCCGUUAAGUCAGCGGUAAAAUUGCGGGGCUCAACCCCGUCGAGCCGUUGAAACUGUCAGACUUGAGUUGGCGAGAAGUACGCGGAAUGCGCGGUGUAGCGGUGAAAUGCAUAGAUAUCGCGCAGAACUCCGAUUACGAAGGCAGCGUACCGGCGCCACACUGACGCUGAGGCACGAAAGCGUGGGGAUCGAACAGG
rnacentral:rRNA from 1 species